rnacentral:rRNA from 1 species
UACGUAGGGGGCAAGCGUUGUCCGGAAUUAUUGGGCGUAAAGAGCGUGUAGGCGGCCAGAUAAGUCCGCUGUGAAAUCUCGAGGCUCAACUUCGAGCUGUCGGUGGAAACUAUCUGGCUAGAGUCCGGAAGAGGAGAGUGGAAUUCCUGGUGUAGCGGUGAAAUGCGCAGAUAUCAGGAGGAACACCGGUGGCGAAGGCGGUUCUCUGGGCAUGUUCUGACGCUGAGGAGCGAAAGUGUGGGGAGCGAACAGG